GAUGAACGCUGGCGGCGUGCCUAAUACAUGCAAGUCGAGCGAACAGACGAGGAGCUUGCUCCUUUGACGUUAGCGGCGGACGGGUGAGUAACACGUGGGUAACCUACCUAUAAGACUGGGGUAACUUCGGGAAACCGGAGCUAAUACCGGAUAAUAUUUCGAACCGCAUGGUUCGAUAGUGAAAGAUGGCUUUGCUAUCACUUAUAGAUGGACCUGCGCCGUAUUAGCUAGUUGGUAAGGUAACGGCUUACCAAGGCAACGAUACGUAGCCGACCUGAGAGGGUGAUCGGCCACACUGGAACUGAGACACGGUCCAGACUCCUACGGGAGGCAGCAGUAGGGAAUCUUCCGCAAUGGGCGAAAGCCUGACGGAGCAACGCCGCGUGAGUGAUGAAGGUCUUCGGAUCGUAAAACUCUGUUAUUAGGGAAGAACAAACGUGUAAGUAACUGUGCACGUCUUGACGGUACCUAAUCAGAAAGCCACGGCUAACUACGUG
rnacentral:rRNA from 1 species